rnacentral:rRNA from 1 species
UACAGGGGGUGCAAGCGUUGCUCGGAAUUACUGGGCGUAAAGCGUGCGCAGGCGGUCCAGCAAGUCGGGGGUGAAAACCCGGGGCUCAACCCCGGAAUUGCCUUCGAAACUGCUGGACUUGAAUACGAGAGAGGGUCGCGGAAUUCUUGGUGUAGAGGUGAAAUUCGUAGAUAUCAGGAAGAACACCAGUGGCGAAAGCGGCGACCUGGCUCGAUAUUGACGCUCAUGCACGAAAGCGUGGGGAGCAAACAGG